AAUGGGCGUGGGAGUAGCCCAACGAUGCGGGACGGUGACGUUCAGAAUCCGACGAGUUAUUCGUGAUCCGAUUGUAAAAUAAUUACCAACCGGUGCUCGCAAAUAUAUAUGUAUAAAGUGUAUAAACUCGAUUUAUAUAUUGCAAGUAACUGAGAGAGUUGAGUAAAUAUAGUCUUUUGUAUUGAUUCUUGCAUUAGCCUUUGACAUUAUACAAUGG
rnacentral:lncRNA from 1 species